GUGGAUUAGAUACCCUAGUAGUCCACGCCGUAAACGAUGGGCGCUAGGUGUGGGCGGUGUCGACUCCGUCCGUGCCGAAGCUAACGCAUUAAGCGCCCCGCCUGGGGAGUACGGCCGCAAGGCUAAAACUCAAAGGAAUUGACGGGGGCCCGCACAAGCAGCGGAGCAUGUGGUUUAAUUCGACGCAACGCGAAGAACCUUACCAGGGCUUGACAUGCACGGGAAUUGCGUAGAAAUACGUAAGCCCUUCGGGGCUCGUGCACAGGUGGUGCAUGGCUGUCGACAACU
rnacentral:rRNA from 1 species